AUUGAACGCUGGCGGCAGGCCUAACACAUGCAAGUCGAGCGAGCGGCGGACGGGUGAGUAAUGUCUGGGAAACUGCCUGAUGGAGGGGGAUAACUACUGGAAACGGUAGCUAAUACCGCAUACCAUCAGAUGUUCCCAGAUGGGAUUAGCUAGUAGGUGGGGUAACGGCUCACCUAGGCGACGAUCCCUCGCUGGUCUGCGAGGAUGACCAGCAAAACUGGAACGGAGACACGGUCCAGACUCUGACGGGAGGCAGCAGUGGGGAAUAUUGCACAAGGGGCGAAAGCCUGAGGCAGCCAGGCCGCGUGUGGGAAGAAGGCCUUCGGGUGGUAAAGCACGUUCAGCGGGGAGGCGUUACCCGCAGAAGAAGCACCGGCUAACUCCGUGCCAGCAGCCGCGGUAAUAC
rnacentral:rRNA from 1 species